rnacentral:lncRNA from 1 species
GUGAAGGAUCUAAUGAUGGCUUCAUAUCUGCUUGUGAACAGUAGGUCUGACUUAACUAAGAAGUAUGGUGAAUAACUAUUAGGUGAGCCCACAUGACUUAGAGAUUGAAUCAUUAACAUGCAUGAAAUGUAUUGGAUAAGAGUUGUCCACCGAUUGAUUUACUAUGCCAUCAAUAACUAUUAGGUGAGGUGCAUACAAAUCGAUGGGACCGCAGUACCCAC